GACGAACGCUGGCGGCGUGCUUAACACAUGCAAGUCGAACGGAAAGGCCCUGCUUUUGUGGGGUGCUCGAGUGGCGAACGGGUGAGUAACACGUGAGUAACCUGCCCUGGACUUUGGGAUAACUUCAGGAAACUGGGGCUAAUACCGGAUAGGAGCUCCUGCUGCAUGGUGGGGGUUGGAAAGUUUCGGCGGUUGGGGAUGGACGCGCGGCUUAUCAGCUUGUUGGUGGGGUAGUGGCUUACCAAGGCAUUGACGGGUAGCCGGCCUGAGAGGGUGACCGGGCACAUUGGGACUGAGGUACGACCCGGGCUGCUUCGGGGGGCAUCGGUGGGAAAUAUUGCCCAAUAGGCGGAAGCCUGAUACAGCGACUCCGCGUGCGGGAUGACGGCCUUCGGGUUGUAAACCGCUUUCGCCUGUGACGAAGCGUAAGUGACGGUAAUGGGUAAAGAAGCACCGGCUAACUACGUG
rnacentral:rRNA from 1 species